UGAGUUUUAUUCUGGCUCAGAAUGAACGCUAUUAGUAUGCUUUACACAUGCAAGUCGUACGAAAAAUUGAUUUCGUGGCGCACGGGUGAGAAAUAUGCAGAUUGCUGCCUUCUAGUCUAUGACAAAUUAACAAAUCGUAGAUAAAAAAGAUUAAAAAGGUUUAUUUUAAUUAAUACUCUGCUAGAAGAUGGGUCUGUGUAAGAUUAGGUAGUUGGUAAAUUUAAAAGCUUACCAAGCCUUUGAUCUUUAGUUGGUCUUAGAGGAUGAUCAACCACAUUGGAACUGAAACAAGGUCCAGGCUGAAUUCUCGGGCAGCAGUGGGGGAUAUUGGACAAUGAACGAAAGUUUGAUCCAGCAAUACUAAAUGAAUGAAGACGGUAGUUUGAUUGUAAAAUUCUUUAUCAAAAAUGAUAAUGACAUUAUUGAAGAAUAAGUCCUGGCUAAUACUCGUGCCAGCAGCCGCGGUAAUACGAGAAGGGCAAGCGUUAUUCACCAUGACUGGGUGUAAAGGGUCCGUAGAUUGUAAAGUUAGUUAUUUGUUAAAAUUAAAAGUUCAAUUUUUAAAUAGCCUAUAAUACUGCUUUACUUGAGUUUUAUGCAGAAAAGUAGAAUUUUAUACGAAAGGGUAAAAUCUUAAAAUAUAUAAAAGAAUGCCGUUAGCGAAGGCAGCUUUUUGGCAAAAACUGACGUUUAGGGACGAAAGUUUGGGUAGCAAAUAGGAUUAGAGACCCUAGUAGUCCAUACUGUAAAUUAUGAGUGUUGAAAUUUAAUGUAAAUUAUUAUAAUUUAUUUAGUAUUUUUAAGCUAACGCUAUAAACACUCCACCUGAGGAGUACGAUCGCAAGAUUAGAACUCAAAGAAAUUGACGGGGGCUGAUGCUAGUGGUGGGGCAUGUGGUUUAAUGCGAUAAUCCGCGCAAAACCUUACCAAUUCUUGACUCAAUAGAAAAUUUUUGCAGUUUAUAUACUAUUUACAAUAUUUUAGUAAGAAUUAAAACUAUUUACAGGUGUUGCACGACUGCCGUCAGUUCGUGUCGUGAGAUGUUUGGUUAAUUCCCUUAACGGACGAAACUCUUAGCUUUAAUUUUUACUUUUAAAAACUUUUUGGUUUUUUAUUUAAGCUUUAAAGCUACUAUCAAUUAUAAGUUGAAGGAAGAAGAACUAAGUCAAGUCAAUGUGACCCUUAUGAAUUGGGCUACACACGUGCUACAAUGAAAAUUACAAAAAGUAACUUGAAAGUUCUAAUUUUUUGUUAAUCUUUAAAAGUUUUCCCAGUUCGAAUUGUAGGCUGCAACUCGCUUACAUGAAGUUGGAAUCACUAGUAAUCGCAAAUCAGAAUGUUGCGGUGAAUAAGUCAAUUAGCCUUGUACAAACCGCCCGUCACAUGCAGAAAAUCAAUUUUACUUGAAGGUUAUAACAAAGUUUGGCCGAUUGAAAAGUUGGUAAUUUGGAUGAAGUCGUAACAAGGUAGCUGUACGGGAACGUGUAGCUGGAAAAAAUGAAAAGAUAGAGGCUAUUGUAAACUUAAAAAAGGAAAAGGUUCAAAUCCUAUUUUCAUUA
rnacentral:rRNA from 1 species